rnacentral:tmRNA from 1 species
GGGGUUGACUGGUUUCGACAGGGGUUUUGAAGCUAUGGAAGCCAUCCGUGGUCCGGAUCCACGUUAAAAGACGGAAAUUAAAAAUAAACGCUAACGAUAAUUUAGCUUACGCUGCCUAGUUGCAGCUGCUGCCUUUAAGGUCCACCGAGCCUUUUAGAUGCAGUAUCAUCCUUCGGUAAACUCUUUUAUGUAAGCUUUGCCAUAAAAGAAAAUUCAUGAAGCUACCUGUUCUUAUAGCCUGUUAGUGGGCGGUAAGGAUGGGGAAUAAUAAAACACUGACUAUGAUGGAAGAAGCUGUAGUGAAUGGGCCUUUGGACGCGGGUUCGACUCCCGCCAGCUCCACU